rnacentral:rRNA from 1 species
AUUGAACGCUGGCGGCAGGCCUAACACAUGCAAGUCGAACGAGUGGCGGACGGGUGAGCAAUGUCUGGGAAACUGCCUGAUGGAGGGGGAUAACUACUGGAAACGGUAGCUAAUACCGCAUACCAUCAGAUGUGCCCAGAUGGUAUUAGCUUGUUGGUGGGGUAACGGCUCACCAAGGCGACGAUCCCUAGCUGGUCUGAGAGGAUGACCAGCCACACUGGCGAUUAGACACGGACCAGACUCCUACGGGAGGCAGGAGUGGGGAAUAUUGAACAAUGGACGCAAGCCUGAUGCAGCCAUGCCGCGUGUAUGAAGAAGGCCUUCGGGUUGUAAAGUACGUUCAGCGGGGAGGCGUUACCCGCAGAAAAAGCACCGGCUAACUCCGUGUCAGCAGCCGCGGUAAUUC